rnacentral:rRNA from 1 species
AGAGUUUGAUCAUGGCUCAGGAUGAACGCUAGCGGCAGGCCUAAUACAUGCAAGUCGAACGGGAGUAGGUAGCAAUACUUACUCUAGUGGCGCACGGGUGCGUAACGCGUAUGCAACUUACCUUUUACUGGGGGAUAGCCCGAGGAAACUCGGAUUAAUACCGCAUAACAUCACGAGAGGGCAUCUGAUUGUGAUUAAAGAUUUAUUGGUAAAAGAUGGGCAUGCGUGCCAUUAGCUAGUUGGUAGUGUAACGGACUACCAAGGCGACGAUGGCUAGGGGUUCUGAGAGGAUGAUCCCCCACACUGGUACUGAGAUACGGACCAGACUCCUACGGGAGGCAGCAGUAGGGAAUAUUGGGCAAUGGAGGCAACUCUGACCCAGCCAUGCCGCGUGCAGGAUGAAGGCCUUCUGGGUUGUAAACUGCUUUUAUCUAGGAAGAAAAUACCCUUGCGAGGGGAACUGACGGUACUAGGUGAAUAAGCACCGGCUAACUCCGUGCCAGCAGCCGCGGUAAUACGGAGGGUGCAAGCGUUGUCCGGAUUUAUUGGGUUUAAAGGGUGCGUAGGCGGCUUAGUAAGUCCGUGGUGAAAGCCAACAGCUCAACUGUUGAACUGCCAUGGAUACUGCUAGGCUUGAGUACAGACGAGGUAGGCGGAAUGGAUAGUGUAGCGGUGAAAUGCAUAGAUACUAUCCAGAACACCGAUUGCGAAGGCAGCUUACUAGGCUGUAACUGACGCUGAGGCACGAAAGCGUGGGGAGCGAACAGGAUUAGAUACCCUAGUAGUCC